GGCAAGGGUUCUCUCACUCCCUUC
rnacentral:siRNA from 1 species